GCUCACUUUGGCUGCACAUAUACUAAAAUUGGAACAAUGAAGAGAAGAAUAGUAUUGCUCCUGUAGAAGGAUGACAUGCAAAUUAACUCAAGCUACUAUCUAAUG